rnacentral:rRNA from 1 species
GUGAGGAAUAUUGCACAAUGGGCGAAAGCCUGAUGCAGCAACGCCGCGUGAGUGAUGAAGGCCUUUGGGUCGUAAAACUCUGUCCUUGGGGAAGAAAAAAAUGACGGUACCCUUGGAGGAAGCCCCGGCUAACUACGUGCCAGCAGCCGCGGUAAUACGUAGGGGGCGAGCGUUAUCCGGAAUUAUUGGGCGUAAAGAGUGCGUAGGUGGUUUUGUAAGCGUAGGGUGAAAGGCAGUAGCUCAACUAUUGUUAGCCCUGCGAACUGUGAGACUUGAGUGCAGGAGAGGAAAGUGGAAUUCCUAGUGUAGCGGUGAAAUGCGUAGAUAUUAGGAGGAACACCAGUGGCGAAGGCGACUUUCUGGACUGUAACUGACACUGAGGCACGAAAGCGUGGGUAGCAAACAGGAUUAGAAACCCUGGUAGUCC